UCUUCGGGACUUGAGACCGGCGCACGGGUGCGUAACGCGUAUGCAAUCUGCCUUUCACAGAGGGAUAGCCCAGAGAAAUUUGGAUUAAUACCUCAUAGUAUAGCAGUCUCGCAUGAGACCACUAUUAAAGUCACAACGGUGAAAGAUGAGCAUGCGUCCCAUUAGCUAGUUGGUAAGGUAACGGCUUACCAAGGCUACGAUGGGUAGGGGUCCUGAGAGGGAGAUCCCCCACACUGGUACUGAGACACGGACCAGACUCCUACGGGAGGCAGCAGUGAGGAAUAUUGGACAAUGGGCGCAAGCCUGAUCCAGCCAUGCCGCGUGCAGGAUGACGGUCCUAUGGAUUGUAAACUGCUUUUGUACGAGAAGAAACACUCCUUCGUGAAGGAGCUUGACGGUAUCGUAAGAAUAAGGAUCGGCUAACUCCGUGCCAGCAGCCGCGGUAAUACGGAGGAUCCAAGCGUUAUCCGGAAUCAUUGGGUUUAAAGGGUCCGUAGGCGGUUUAGUAAGUCAGUGGUGAAAGCCCAUCGCUCAACGGUGGAACGGCCAUUGAUACUGCUGAACUUGAAUUAUUAGGAAGUAACUAGAAUAUGUAGUGUAGCGGUGAAAUGCUUAGAGAUUACAUGGAAUACCAAUUGCGAAGGCAGGUUACUACUAAUGGAUUGACGCUGAUGGACGAAAGCGUGGGUAGCGAACAGGAUUAGAUACCCUGGUAGUCCACGCCGUAAACGAUGGAUACUAGCU
rnacentral:rRNA from 1 species